rnacentral:rRNA from 1 species
UACGUAGGUGGCAAGCGUUGUCCGGAUUUACUGGGCGUAAAGAGCGCGCAGGCGGUCGUUCAAGUCGCGUGUGAAAGCCCCCGGCUCAACUGGGGAGGGUCACGCGAUACUGAUCGACUCGAAGGCAGGAGAGGGUAGUGGAAUUCCCGGUGUAGUGGUGAAAUGCGUAGAGAUCGGGAGGAACACCAGUGGCGAAGGCGGCUACCUGGACCAGCACUGACACUGAGGCACGAAAGCGUGGGGAGCAAACAGG